rnacentral:rRNA from 1 species
GACGGAGGAUGCAAGCGUUAUCCGGCAUGAUUGGGCGUAAAGCGUUCGCAGGUGGCUGUUCAAGUCUGCUGUCAAAGACCGGGGCUUAACCCCAGAAAGGCAGUGGAAACUGAACGGCUGGAGUGCAGAUAGGGUAGAGGGAAUUCCCAGUGUAGCGGUGAAAUGCGUAGAGAGUGGGAAGAACACCGGUGGCGAAAGCGCUCUGCUGGACAGCAACUGACACUGAGGGACGAAAGCUAGGGGAGCGAAAGGG